rnacentral:rRNA from 1 species
AACGAACGCUGGCGGCAUGCCUAACACAUGCAAGUCGAACGAGACCUUCGGGUCUAGUGGCGCACGGGUGCGUAACGCGUGGGAAUCUGCCCUUGGGUUCGGAAUAACAGUUAGAAAUGACUGCUAAUACCGGAUAAUGUCUUCGGACCAAAGAUUUAUCGCCCAGGGAUGAGCCCGCGUAGGAUUAGCUAGUUGGUGAGGUAAAGGCUCACCAAGGCGACGAUCCUUAGCUGGUCUGAGAGGAUGAUCAGCCACACUGGGACUGAGACACGGCCCAGACUCCUACGGGAGGCAGCAGUGGGGAAUAAUUGGGACAAAUGGGCGAAAAGCCUGAUCCAGCAAUGCCGCGUGAGUGAUGAAGGCCUUAGGGUUGUAAAGCUCUUUUACCCGGGAUGAUAAUGACAGUACCGGGA